UCAUCAUAGUUUAUAAUCAUGUUCUUAUGCUUUGGUAGAGAACCCAUGUUGAAGGUAAGAGGAAAGUAUAGAGCAUGGAAAAUAUCAUGAAUACUGGAUCCAUUUAGUCCAAGAAGAAUUACAACUGUACAAACGUGCUAUGGGCCAACUCAUGAUCUCCUAUGACUUGUGAAGGCACGGAAUAAAGGAAUGGUCUCUCUGCACUGUGAAAGUAACCAGAUCUCCAGCUUACGUUCUUGUGAUGUCUUCCUUUUAUUAUGUAACCAUGUUUUACUAAGGUUGGGAACACCCACAACCAGCCUUUCAGGUGCAACAGUGGAGCAGCCCGAUGCUGUUGAUGGCCCAUUAAAGGAAUCCACACUCACAACAACUAUCCUAGGGACUGUAUAGAAUGGAAACUUCUCAGAGAGAGCACCUGAACAAUGGAGACUGCUUGACUCAUAGCAAACUAUAAAAGAGGAGAAGUGACAUCACUUGGUCUCUCUCCCCCCACAACUCAACACCUGGAAACACAUCUGGAGAACAAAGAUUGAACUGGGGAGAUGGUCCCAGACUGGAAAGGAGAAUCCCAGUUUGUGUUUGAAGGAACUAUACUAUCAGGGCGAGACACUGCUUGAUUCAAAUCCUGCCUAGUUUAUAUAAAACAGAUUGCAAUUUUACUUUUAUUUUGUAGGUAACCAACUUUGAUCUAUACACUUAC